UAGCGUAUAUUAAACUUUGUUUGCAGUUAAAAAGCUCGUAGUUGAAUUUUUAGCGUGUUCGAGUUUGCCAUUCGUUUGGCUUUUUCGAGUUCGCUUUUGGGUUUUCCCUUUUUACUUUGAGAAAAUUAGAGUGUUUCAAGCAGACUUUUGUCUUGAAUACUUCAGCAUGGAAUAAUAGAGUAGGACUUUGGUUCUAUUUUGUUGGUUAUUGAACCUUAGUAAUGGUUAAUAGGAACGGUUGGGGGCAUUCGUAUUUAACUGUCAGAGGUGAAAUUCUUAGAUUUGUUAAAGACGAACUACUGCGAAAGCAUUUGCCAAGGACGUUUCCAUUAAUCAAGAACGAAAGUUAGGGGAUCGAAGACGAUCAGAUACCGUCGUAGUCCUAACCAUAAACCAUGCCGACUAGUGAUUGGAGGUCGUCGUUUUGCUGACCCCUUCAGGAACUUGAGA
rnacentral:rRNA from 1 species